AGACAUGCUAUGUUGAUUGCCUUGUAGGCUCCAACGCUGCAGUUUGGUCUGAGUUAUUCUCUGUACCUGCUCUUGCCAAUCUGUAGACAUCUUUAGAAGUAGCUUGUAGCCAUGUUCAGUUUCCUGGACUUAAUUUACAUGCCUAUUUCGAGCUUCAGCUGUGAAGUAGGAAGUCUGUCUGUAUCUGUCAUGUCAAUUUAGAAGUUGUAGUGUAAUGGCAACAGUUUUUCUGAUUUAGUUAGCAUUUAAUGCUUCAAUGUCUGUUAUGACCUGGAUGUUUAUGGCUUCAUGUAGAGGUUUUCUCCAUUAAAGUUGAAAGAUAAUCGCUACCUCUUCUAGGGCUAGUUAUCAUUUAAUUUGGUAUUUCUUUACAUCUGCCAAGUUUAUAUAUGAAAUACUCGCAUGACUCAUGCGGUUCUUAUCUUUGACCUGCUAUUAAGCUUGUGCUCCAUGGAUCUAAGCAAGUAAAAUGCCUGAUAGUUUCUCAUUGUUCCGAUCUGGUGUUACUGUGCGCUGAACCGAGUAUUUUUAUUUGUGUGCCUCUACCUUAAUACCUUGGACAUUAUGAUAGCACUUGCUCACCAAUGGUUUGCAUAUCUUGACUCAAUAUGUGUAGUAUUUUCCUUUUGAAAUAGCAUAAACUUUAACUUGUGUGGUGUUUGAUCGCCCUUUCUCUUAGAAUUAUGCAAGGGAGUAUAUAUUUAUAAGGUAUGUGUAAAAGUCUUACAAGUUUAAAAAAAAACAUGACAAAUGAAAACAGAAGAGAAAGAAAAACAUCACCAGCAAGUGGACAGACAACUACUGCUGCACAGCGUACUACCUGAGUGCCCCCAAGAGUGAAAGAUUUGCUACCAAAGGUCAGUAAGAUCCUGCAAAGGUGUGGCCGGGCCUCCUUGUGAAAAAACCUUUCCUUACUUUCCUUUCAUAGGUGCCAUGGGCCCAAAAUAAUGAAGCUGUCCAUACAUUCUCCUUUCUGAAAGAUCUGGGAGUCCCUAUCCUCUUGCCACCAGUCUUACAGUUCACUAUCAAGAGAGGGUGUUGCAUUUAAGACCAGUCCAUCUGUAGUUGAAGAAGUUUAAUUAUAGCGACUUUCUAUAACAAAAUCGAAAUCUGAUUACACGGCUUUCUAUCAACAUCUUACUAGCUUAGAAGGUUUCCAGAAGUAUGAGAAUAGAUCUUUGCUCAGGGUUCAGUAUUUGGAAAUCGAGGUUUCGUUGUGGCGUCUGUUUGCAAAUAUUUAUCUAUACUUAGAAACUGAUUAGGUUUGAUUGCAACGAGGGAAAAAAACAUGGUAGCAAAACUAAGUAAUAUGCAGAUUGUUUGGUUUAGCCAUUGAACAAAAGCCCAUUUGCUUGCCAGCUCUGGUUUGUUUCUUCUUUUAGCUAACAGGCAUGAUGAACUACUACCAAUCCUUUUGCAUUUACGUUCGUUGGCUUUCUGAAAGCACUUUUCCGUUUCUGUUUUUAUGCGUUUCAGUCAUCUUAAGAUCUAAAGUACAUCUAGAUACAUCCAUUUCUGCGACGAGUAAUUCGGAACGGAGGGAGUACUACCACAGUGCAGAAAGCGCUUUCUUAUUUCUAUUUUUGGAUGUAUCAGUUACUUUACCAUCCUAAAAUCGCUUGUCUGCUUCUACCAUUCGAUGUAUUACUAGUUUGCUGGAAAAGCUGGAAAGUGCUACUAUCCUUUUGUGGAACUAACAUCAAAAUCCUGCCAAAGUUAGUAAGUAUUCUCUAUCACAAUACAACAUCGGCCGGAUAUGCCAUGGGUCUAUUUCAAGAAACUGGUGUGGCGGUGCAGGAGGUUGGGCCCCCCAGCCGAAUUAAGUAAAACCAAUGAUAGAUCACUCUCUAUCGCUCGCUGUAUACAUCUUUAAAGAAUGACACAGCGAGAGAGGUUAUUUUGAAAAAUGUUCGGGUCGCUGGGCUCUCGCGUCCGCGGCGGGUGAGCGACCGCGGCCCCUUCUCUCUCCUCCGAUCUCCCCCGUGACAACCUCGACCAGAUUCGGUACCCCCUGCGUGUCCUCUCUCCUCCCCCGUUGAAGCCACGUUCUCGUGCUCCCUUGAGCUCAUCUGUGCUGCUGAUGAGCUGACAUUCUGCCGGUGUCAGCAGCGGCGGAGAACCGGUGGUAGGCUCUCCGUCAAUGUUGCUGCAGCACACGCUGCCGGUCUGCUUUGGAUGGGGCGCUUGACCGCGACCCCUUCGAUCUCCCCCGCGACAACCUCGAGCAGAUCUGGUACCCCCUGUGUGUCCUCUCUCCUCUCUCGUUGAAGCCACGCUCUCUCGUGCUCCCUUGAGCUCGUCUAUGCUGCUGAUGCGUUGACAUGCUGCCGGCAUCAGCAGCGGCGGAGAACCGACGGUAGGCUCUCCGUCAGUGCUGCUGCAGCACACGCCGCCGAUCUGCUUUGAAUGGGGGGCUUGUCCUGCUCGGCAACCAGCCGCGGCUGCCAAGGUUCCUCGAGCUCUUCCCUAGUCGGUGUUCAUACCGCCAGGAGCGGCGGCAGGCUCUCCGUCCAUGCUGCUGCAGCCCGCGCCGCGGUCUGCCCUGGUUGGGGGGCUUGUCCUACCCGGUGACCAACCUCCUCUAGCCGCGGCCGCCAUGGCGCAGCGACACCUUGUGCCUUCGGUCGUCCACGAGUCCCGGACUCUUUUGCUGCCAUCGUUGUCGGCCGUCCCUAUCGUGUUGACGCAAGCCUCUGCUGCUCAGGACGAUGCCGUCGUCCAGUGGCCUUGGAUGGUAUCAUCCCUUGCUUGAUGAUACAAGGGCUCAACCCCAACGGUACGCUUGGGCGGCCUGUGAUGUGGGCCUCCCUCGCCAAUGACGACGAGGCCAACGAAGACGGAGUGCUAGCCCCGCAGACGGUGCUGGCUCUACCAAUUUCUCACCUCCGACUGCUUGGCGUGUGUCCGGUGUGAGGUGGUGACAGACAGAGGAUGGCGGGAGGUGUUGCCGCGACGUCCGGCACCACCUGCCCCGACGAUGACUCCUGUCCCAUUCCCGCUUGGCUUCAUGAGAGAUGUUGCAUAUGCCUCGCUUUUGGGCACCGUGCGACAAUUUGUCGAGAUUCCCUUCGGUGCCCUCGUUGUUUGAAGAACGGCACCAUGCGCGUGAGUGCUGCAACCCUUGGCGUUCACUCCACUCGUUGGCAUGCCUUGUCAUGUCGUCCGAGCCCCACCUCGGCAUCAAGCAUCGUCGAGCUCCAGCUUCCUGAGGAGGUCCGAUGAAGUCCGUGCGUCCCUCCAAGGCGUCAUCUCUGCCUCUCUAGUAUAGUUGGCUCGUCAACCCCGUCUAAGCUGGUGCGAGGCUUGCUGGCGCGGGUUGAGAGCUUUCUGGAGUGGGCGGAGGCUGCUCUAGGCAAGCUCUCCCUCGUGCCGAUUAUGUUGUCGACCGCUUCGAUGUGUUUCUGGUGUUGGUUCCGCGGAUGACAAGGGUAUAUAGCUCUUCAGUUGUUUCUCCCCUCAUGUUGGGGUUAGUUCAUUGUCAUUGCCUGUCCUGCCCUCUGUGCCGUCUAUCGCUGAGGGUGAGGCCAUUGUCAUGAUCAUUGCCCAUGUGCUGCAAAUCAUGCCCAAGCUUCAAUAGCUAUGUGUGAGACAUGCUUCGCCUCAGUCUAUGGAGCAUAUGGAGGUCGACUCACCCGCGACCUCAUGUGAGGGACAUGAUUCACCUAUGUCAUGUGAGCAACUGUAGGCGCCUGAGUCCAUCAUGUCGGUGGUACUUAUGAUUGAUAAUGAUGAGGUGGUCGGCAUGCUGGCACCUGAUCCUUUGGAGCCCAGCCAGCUACUCAACUUUGUGGACAGUGGAGGUUCCGAUGUUGCGGUCACCCACUCGCAUGUGACCGUUGGGCAGGUGGUGUCUGUGCGUGACAAGCUCAAUGAGAUUCUCUUCGAGUUAGAGCAUCGCAGCUUACUCAUACGUUUGGAGGCGGCUAGCCCUGGAUCAGGUAGGACGUUUGUGGAGGAGGCUCUCAGGAGCGAAGGAAAGAAGAGUGGCGCCACAGGAAAGGCGUCCGCAACUGCUUGAUGGAUGAUCAUCAGUCUCUUGGAUUGUGGCUUGGCUUGUCUCCGUGGAUUUGCUGGUGCCCGCUGUCUUCGGCCGAGGUACUCUUAUUUGGGAUUUCUUUGCGAUGUAGCAGUGUGAGGGUUGGUGGUUGCUAUAUGUUGGGUAUGGUUGUCGGGGCGAUCAUGCACUUAGGGAUUGCUUCUAGGGAUUGCUUCUGUGAGUAGUUCACAUGUGGUUGGUUUGUAGUGGGUUUUGCCCGGUUUUUGGUCAUAACAGGUAAUUUUCCUCUUCUUAAUUAAUCAACGAGGCAAAUCUUUUGCCUUUGUUUUGUAAAAAAAGAAAAAAAAUGACACAGCAGACGUUGAGAUGAAACCAGUGCUCCAAUCGUGCCCUUGGUUUUGUUACUCACUUGUGGGUGAAAACUUGCAUCUACACAGGGGCACUUCAAAUAUUUAUAUCUUAGCAUGGUUCCAUGGAUCUGAUGUGACAACAUGUUUAAUAAGGAAAGAGAGCGGUUGUAUCUUAAAAGCAAGGUUAAUAUAAAGUUGUCACGUCACGUAUAGACAACCUAAUAAUUUACUCAUAUAAUAGUUAAUUAUAUAAUAGGAAAGUGAAUAGACAGGAUUGCUCGCCAGUGCUGCUCCCAGGGGUGCGGCUCAGAAAAACCCUAGCCAUCGGUGCUGCCGACUCCUCUUCCUAACAAUCUCCCCGCUGCCGUCGGAGGAAGCCGGCGAGCAAAGCUCGUCUGGUGGACGGUGGUGGUGGGUGUCGGUGUCAAAACCGGCGGAUCUCGGGUAGGGGGUCCCGAACUGUGCGUCUAGGAUCGAUGGUAACAGGGGACGGGGGACACGAUAUUUACCCAGGUUCGGGCCCUCUCUAUGGAGGUAAUAUGUAACGCCCCGAGACCGAUGCUCCAGACGGCUUCCAUGUUUUUCGUUGUUGUCAUGUUUUUGUUUGUUUGUUGCAUUCAUUAUCGCAUCAUUCGCAUUGCAUCAGUACUCCGUUGCCGUCAUGUUUUCAAAACUUGCAUCCGCUCGUAGUUGCCACGUUUCCCCCUUUCUUUCGUUGACCGUUCUGAGUCCCAUCAGGUUUUCGCUUCCCUCUUGUCCGUGACCGCCUUACCCCCUUUUGCGUGCGUGUCCGAAACUUCCCCGAACUCAACCCGGACAGUUGUCACCGUUGGGUCCGGAUCAUCUCAAGUAUCCCUAAGAUAUCUUCGUUUUAUUUAUUGGACUUCCUAACCUAUUUAUUUUGGUCCGUCCGGUUACAAACGAAGGGACGAGAUAACCCUACCCACACCCACCUACUAUAAAUAGCAGUGCAAUCAUCAGACAAAUCCCUAAUUUCUAGGGAUCCUCCUCCUCGCCGCCAGUCUCUGGUUCCCUCGGGAUCCAUCCCGAGCCAACCCGCAGCCGCCACUCCUCUCCUGGAUCUCCCCUGCUUCCCUCGUCCUCCCUCGAUUUGCGCCGCCGCCCAACCACUCCCUCCAACCAGCGCCUCCCCGCCGCCUUGCACGCCCACGCCGCCGGCGAACACAGCAGCAGCAGGUCAUGCUGCCGGCCUCAUCUCGCUCCUCUCCUCCCCUGUAUCUCCCUUCCUCCCCGUGUUUCUCUCUCUCACGUCUCCCUCUCGUUUCUCUGGCAGGAAAUGCCAUGGCCGCCUGAGUUCUUCCACGCCGGCCUGCUACCUCGCCUCCCCGACCCGAACUGGCCCGGAUCCGCGUCUCCGGCCACCAAGCUAGUCCCCGCGCCACCGUCGUGCAUCAAGCCCUGCGCCUCUCCGCCGCUCCGCACCUCCCUGCCCCGACGAGUCCCCGUCGUCCCGAGGCCACCCGUCUCCGUCCGGCCGGCAACGAGCAGUAGCUCGCCGGAGCGCGAGUUCCAUCGGGUCCGCCUCCCUCUGUCCGUCCCUCUCCUUCUCCUAUUUCUAGCCUCCCCCCUGCCACUUCUCUGAAUUUAUUGCCUCGCCAUGGCCCUGCAGGUUCCCCGCCGAACACUCCGCCAGUCUUCCAAUUCGGUGGGGAUCGACGGGAUCCGCGUCGCCCUGCUCGUCCCGCCUCCGGCUUGCGUCAGAUCCCGGCGUCCCCAGCUCGCCUGGUGCGCCGCCAAGCCCUCAUCGCCGGCCUCCCCUGCUUCUGCGUGCGGGGACGACGACCAGCGCCAGUCCCGCUCCUGCCUCUGUUCGAGAGGAGGAGACUGCAGUCGCGACGGCCGCGUUGACCGCGCCCCCUCCCCUCGUUCGAUCCAACCAGCCCAGCCGGCCUGCUUUUGCCAAGGCCCAGCCCAGCGCGCCUUCUUCCUCAGCCCAGCCGCCCCUCCACCGACCUGGGCCUCAGCCCAUGGUGAGCAGCCUAGUUCCAUCAGAUUCGGCCUGUCAUGUUUUUUCCUGCUCUGGACGAAUUUGCCUAUUAAUCCCGAGACUGCCAAUUUUGCAGAAUAGCCCCUCUAGAUCUUGCAUUUAAUAACUCCAGAAUCGUGCAUCAUAUGUAAAUAACUUAUAUAUGUAAAAUGCUUAGAAUUUUAUCUAGUUUCAUAAUAUGCUGCUUGCAUCCAUGUUUAAAAUGUUUAAAAUGUUGUUUGUUUAAUUUUGCAUAAAUGCCAUGUUAAAAUGAUUUAUUUCAUAACUAAUUAACCAUAACUCGGAAUUUAAUAAACUUUAUAUGUAAAUGGGGUAGAAAAAUGCCUAGUUUAACAUGGUGCACUUCAUUUUGCUGGUUAACAACAUUAAAAUUGUGUUUAGGGCAGAACAGUACCAAAUUUAAAAUAUGCAAAUGGGGAUUUUCCGGAAUUGUUAUUUGUUGUUCCGGCCUCAUUUAAACUUGCCUAAAUAGUUAGUUUACUUAUGCUUCACCUCUUGCCAUGUCAAUCAACAUUUAAUAUUGUUGGGUACAUAACCGAGAGAGAACUAAAUAAUUGAUGUGGUGUUUCAUCAAUAUGCAACUCGUUGCAUAUUGAGCUCCACUUAAUUUGUAGUGUUGUUUGUUGCACUUUGCCAUGCCAUGCCUCAUUAAACCGGACAUGCAUCAUACUUGUUUAUGCAUCAUGCCAUGUGUAUGUGGUGGUCGUUUACUAUGUUGUUUGUUUCUUUCCGGGUUGCUUCUCUCGUUACCUUCGGUUUCGUUCCGGAGUUGUGAGUAUUCGUUCGACUACAUCCGUUUGUCUUCUUCAUGGACUCGUUCUUCUUCCUUGCGGGAUCUCAGGAAAGAUGACCAUACCCUCGAAAUCACUUCUAUCUUUGCUUGCUAGUUGUUCGCUCUAUCGCUAUGUUGCGCUACCUACCACUUGUUAUAUCAUGCCUCCCAUAUUGCCAUGUCAAACCUCUAACCCACCUUUCCUAGCGCCCCUCUUAUAGCGUUGCUAGUUGCAGGUGAAGAUGAAGUUUGUUCCAUGUUGGAACAUGGAUAUGUUGGGAUAUCACAAUAUCUCUUAUUUAAUUAAUGCAUCUAUAUACUUGGUAAAGGGUGGAAGGCUCGGCCUUAUGCCUGGUGUUUUGUUCCACUCUUGCCGCCCUAGUUUUCCAUCAUACCGGUGUUAUGUUCCUUGAUUUUGUGUUCCUUACGCGGUUGGGUGAUUUAUGGGACCCCCUUGACAGUUCGCUUUGAAUAAAACUCCUCCAGCAAGGCCCAACCUUGGUUUUACCAUUUGCUACGACCUAUCCCCUUUUCCCUUGGGUUCUGCAGACUCAAGGGUCAUCUUUAUUUUAACCCCCCCGGGCCAGUGCUUCUCUAAGUGCUGGUCCGAACUGAGUAGACUGCAGGGCCCCCUCGUGGAAACUCGAGGUCUGGUUUUACUCGUAGGAUGUCUCAUCCGGUGUUGCCCUGAGAACGAGAUAUGUGCAGCUCCUAUCGGGAUUGUCGGCACAUCGGGCGGCUUUGCUGGUCUUGUUUUACCAUUGUCGAAAUGUCUUGUAAACCGGGAUUCCGAGACUGAUCGGGUCUUCCCGGGAGAAGGAAUAUCCUUCGUUGACCGUGAGAGCUUAUAAUGGGCUAAGUUGGGACACCCCUGCAGGGUAUAAACUUUCAAGAGCCGUGUCCGCGGUUAUGUGGCAGAUGGGAAUUUGUUAAUAUCCGGUUGUAGAGAACUUGACACUUGACUUAAUUAAAAUACAUCAACCGUGUGUGUAGCCGUGAUGGUCUCUUCUCAGCGGAGUCCGGGAAGUGAACACGGUUUGAGUUAUGCAUGAAUGUAAUUAGUUUCAGGAUCACUUCUUGAUCAUUUCUAGCUUCGCGACCGUUGCGUUGCUUCUCUUCUCACUCUCAUUUGCGUAUGUUAGCCACCAUAUAUGCUUAGUGCCUGCUGCAGCUCCACCUCAUUACACCAUCCUUUCCUAUAAGCUUAAAUAGUCUUGAUCUUGCGGGUGUGAGAUUGCUGAGUCCUCGUGACUCACAGAUUCUACCAAAACAGUUGCAGGUGCCGACGAAGCCAGUGCAGAUGACGCAACCGAGCUCAAGUGGGAGUUCGACGAGGAACGUGGUCGUUACUAUGUUUCUUUUCCUGAUGAUCAGUAGUGGAGCCCAGUUGGGACGAUCGGGGAUCUAGCAUUUGGGGUUAUCUUAUUUUCAUUUGGAUUUGACCGUAGUCGGUCUAUGUGUGGAUUUUGGAUGAUGUAUGAAUUAAUUUAUGUAUUGUGUGAAGUGGCGAUUGUAAGCCAACUCUCGUUAUCCCGUUCUUGUUCAUUACAUGGGAUUGUGUGAAGAUGACCCUUCUUGCGACAAAACCACAAUGCGGUUAUGCCUCUAAGUCGUGCCUCGACACGUGGGAGAUAUAGCCGCAUCAUGGGCGUUACAUAAUACCCUACUUCCUGCUUGAUUGAUUUUGAUGAAUAUGAGUAUUACAAGAGUUGAUCUACCACGAGAUCGUAAUGGCUAAACCCUAGAAGUCUAGCCUAUGAGUAUAUGGUAAUGAAUCUGUCCUAUCCGGACUAUGCUCUCCGGUUUAUAUAGACACCGGAGAGAUCUAGGGUUAUAUGGAGUCGGUUACAUAAGAGGGAAUCUUCAUAGUCGAUCGCCUAGCUUGCCUUCCACGCCAAGUCGAGUCCAAUCCGGACACGGGUAUAGUCUUCGGCCUUUGUGUCUUCAUAGCCCAUCAGUCCGGCCCAUGGAUAGCAGGCCGGACACCCGAGGACCCCUUAGUCCAGGACUCCCUCAGUAGCCCCUGAACCUGGCUUCAAUGACGAGGAGUCCGGAGCGCAGAUUGUCUUCGGCAUUGCAAGGCGGGUUCCCCUUCUUCCGAACUCCAAGAUGGUCUUCAGAUGUAAUGAUUGUAUCCGGACCUGUCACACACACCACACACAACCGCAGAGAGAAUAUAAUACUUGCACGAAUCUAAUCUGUUGACAGCUCUUCACCACACGACAUCGCGUCUGUCCGGUCAUAAUCUCGAACCGCUUUUCAUCUGCCAUCCCACGUUUCGAGACGUGGUUGCUAUUGGCAUGUCUUGUCGAAGCAGAGAUCGUGUCCCUUUAUUGCGGGAUUCUCAUCAAUGCGGGCAUGGGUAACCCAACCGUGCCGUUUACACAGCCCUUGGGAAUUGGCGAAUCUCAAGGCGAGUGAGGGGGCGUUUAAUAUUGGCUGCCUUUAUAAGGAGAUAGGGAUUCCCCAUUCCUCUUCUCACGCUUUCUUUCUGUCUCCACCUUCUCGAUCUCCAGCGCCCAAGUUCCAAUCUCCUUUCCACUCAAGCAACCAUGUCCGGAUCCGGUGGUCAGGGCAAGUGGAUGGUCUCCUCCGUCACGGAGGAGGACAUUAAUGAGCUCCGGGCGGCCGGAUAUUUGGCGAAGGGAAUCGCCCACCGCUUGCCUGCCGAGGGACAAAUCGUCCCCACGCCGGAGCCCCACGAGAGAGUAGUAUUCCUCCCUCAUUUCUUCCGCGGGCUGGGGUUCCCCAUCCAUCCCUUCGUCCGCGGGCUGAUGUAUUAUUACGGGGUGGACUUCCAUGAUCUGUCCCCAAACUCCUUCCUCAACAUCUCGGCGUUCAUCGUCGUGUGCGAGGCCUUCCUUCGCAUCCACCCUCACUUCGGGCUGUGGCUCAAAGUCUUCAACGUGAAGCCGAAGGUGGUACACGGCCAGCACGCGGAGUGCGGAGGAGCCAUGGUGAGCAAGCUGCCCAACGUCUCCUGGCCGAAAGGUAUUUUUGUGGAGACAGUGAAGGAGUGGCAGAGAUAAUGGUUCUAUAUCACAGAACCCCGUGGCACCUCCUGGGCCGCGGCUGCCGAAUUCCGCUCUGGCGCUCCUAUGCGGCUCACCUCUUGGGUUGAGAAGAGUCCCGAUUGGGGUUCGUCCGAUGAGGUAAUAGCGUUGCAGACGCGCAUUCAAAGCAUGAUAGCCAAGAACAUCAGGCUUGUGGAUGUAAUCCAGGUGAUGUUAGUUCGCCGGAUCCUUCCAUGCCAGCGCCGAAGCCGCCCGCUGUGGGAGUUCAAUCCAAAGAAGCACCGGACCCUGGCGAGGCUCUUCGAGACUACGUAUGAAGGCGCAUGGAAAUUGCUCUUCAAGGGCAAUGAAAAACCACCGCCACAAAUUCAGACCGUGGUCACGAUUGUACACACCCCGCCAGCAAGGUAUGUUAUUUCGAAUGCGUCCUCAACCUAAUUGUUUCGAGGAUGAUUUCUGAGCUUUUAUUGUUGCUCUUUCAGGACUGGACGGAGAGGGUGAAGCAGAUCCAUUGUCCAGCUCCAUUGCCCGAAGAACCAGUCAUCCCGCGCUUGGCGGAGAUGCUAGUACCGGCGCCAUAUAAGGCACCGGAGAAGAAGGCCAAGAAGAAGGCAAAGGGGGCCAAGAGUGGCCUCCAUCAUAAGGGUACUUCGGACGCGGCGUCCGAAGACGACGAAACUCAUUCCUCUGUCCCUGAGGACAACGAUGGGGAAGAGGAGGAGGAGGAAGAAAACAAUCCUCCCCCUGGGGAGAGGAGGAAGAAGAGGGCGGCUCCGGCGCAUCUGGAGGCGGAGGCGCCCAAAAAGGGGAAGGGCGUUCCGGCGGCCAACACCGCGUGGGACGUUGACAGUAGUCCGGAACGACGGCCCCGCACAAAGCCCCAGGCCGCAUCGUAAGUGACAUGGCUUAUUUAUGCGCCCGCCCAGCUCUUUCUCUCCAUUAUCUUGAUGUAGUUAGCUGUACUAUUGCAGUCCGGCCCGCGACCUAAUCCAACGAUCCUCGUCUGGAACUUCGUUGGCUCCGUUGGAGAUGGCGAGCCAGUCGCCACCGCCUGCUUACUCCCCCGGGGCCGGGGACGACACCGAGGUGCUGUCUCGGAGGGCCGAUCCGAGCCGGGGAGGAACCCAGGACGCUGUCCGGGAGGCGCAACGAGGCGAAGCCUCCACUGCCGGACACAUGGAGGAGACGAUCCCCAUGGAGACUGGCGAAGAGGGCCGCAUCCAGCUUGGCCCUUAGCCGAAUACGAUUCCGGAGACCCAUAUGGCUCCGGAGUCGGGCGGGCAGCCCCCUUUGAAGGAGGGGGUGCACCGUUCCCGCAGGUGGUCCCUGUCCAUCCAGGGGCGCCGGAUAACCUGAUGGAGGCGCUACGAGGCGCCUCCGUUAUGGACGAGCACCGUGUUCUUAUGAGCGCAGUGAUCGAGAAGGUUUAGUCCGCCAAGAGUGGACUGAAUGAAGCCUGCAGCAACCUGUUGACAGGUUUCGAGGUAAGUGACAAAGAAAAAACCCCAUAUAGUCAGUAGCCCCUGAGACACUGUCCGGUGUUCGGUAAGAGGAACCGAACAGAGGAUCCAUCCUCUAGUGUAGGAGACUAACGUGAUAUGUAUGCAUGAGCAGGCCUCGCUAUUGGCCACGACCUCACAUGCUGCCGAAGUCCCUGAACUGAAGCGGAGGCUGGAGCGGACCGAGAAUGAGCUCGGCGAGGUUAAAGUGCGGCUGCAGGAGAAGCAAGGUAGGUAACGUCUUGCUGUGUGUUCGGAAAGCGGAGACACUUUGUAUUGACUGUAGUGUCGAAAUGUAUGCAGGAGCCACGACCGAGGUCGAGGCCCUGAGGAAGGCCCUGGGCGAGGCCGAGGAGAAGGCUGUCCAGCAGCAAGCCGCCUGUAAGAAGCUCAAGGCCCGUGUCAAGGAAAUCCAGCAGGAGCUCAAAGAUGCAGUGAAAAAAUGUGAGACCUUGGAGAAUGAUGCGUCGGCUCAGGAGGCCGAACUCACCAAGGCUCGUCAGGGCACGGAGACCGCGUGGAAUGAGGCCCAGGCCGUCGUCCAGGAGAUCCAGGAGGCUAGGAAGAUCACGGCGGGUAAGGCUUUUAAGAUGCAAAGCAAGUAUGCGGAGAGGCAGUACCUUUUACUAACUCGGGUUCGGAGUUCCCCAGGAGCUUUUGCGGAUCUACCACGCAGCGUAUCAGACGCUGCGGCGUUCUACCGAGCCGAAGGAGGAGGUUCUACAGAGAAGCUAUUCUGGUCGCAGUAUGCGAUGCCAGAGCAUCCCGUGUCCUUCACCGAUCAGCUGAAGCAGCUGGUGGAGCUGCACAGGGUGGCCAAACUAGCCAUGAAGGAUUUGACAAUCCGGCUAUGGCCAGCCGAAGCUAUACCUGGCAGCUACUUCGGACUCGUGAGGCGGCUGGUGGAAGCCUGUCCGCGGCUGGACGUCGUCAAGCGCUCUACAUGUAUUGAAGGUGCCCGCAUGGCCUUUGCUCGCUGCAAGAUGUGGUGGGCGAAGAUGAACGCUGUUGAAGUGGCCAGCGGGCAGCCGGAGGGCAAGGAGCACCGCACACCCGAGAAAUAUUUUGCGGAUGCCAUAGAAGGGUCUCGACUUGUGGCAGCUCAAUGUUCGCAGGACGUUAUUUUCGAAUGAAUGCAUUCAUGUUGGACCUUUGCCUUGUAUUAUAAAGACAGAGCUUGUUUUGUAAUGUAAUUUCGUUAUGCUUUAAAUUGUUUCCUCCUGUGCGGCCGUAUUAUAUGCAAUCUGAGGGUUGGCCAGUCGUCGGCUUCUGCCCUCACGUAAGUAGUACGGAGGUGUUCGGGAUGGGAUCUAAACAAUCUUGAUCCAAUUAUAUGGUCCUUUGGAGGAGUUGUUUAGCGCAACGAACAAGGUAAUCAGACUGUACGGCUUAAACGCCCUCACUUAGGCAUAGGAGUUUUAUAAUUAAGCAUGUGCACAGCCCCUGGUCCAUGCCAGGGUGCUGUCAGCAUCUGAUCGGGAAGUGCCGAUCCUUCGCGUGACGCGGAAGAAAUCUCCAACGAUUUUGUAACCCUCGAACAGCUGACCGGCUCUCGCCUUAUCAUGACAGUCAGUUUUCGGCUUUCUCUACUGAGGUGCUCAUCCGGUCAAGGCCAGGGCACAAUCGCAGCAGUUCUCCCUUUACUACCCUAGCCGAUAGAGCGGAACGUAGGGUAGCAAGCACAGGAGCCGGGCAACCCAACUAUUGACCAAAGACAUGAUUCGGAGCCAAUGCAUAUAAUGCUAAAUUUCGGGGUGCCGAACUUUUAUACAAGAAGUGUUCGGACUUUGUUGCCAUGUUAUGGGGCGAUAAGCAGCCCCUGGCGAAUAUGAAACGUACAAAAGAGUACCGAUGUAGCUGAUAAGCAGAUCGAAAUAAAAUGAAGUAAGAAGCGAAAACCACAGAAACUGGUCCGCAAAUCAUUUUUAUUAUAACUGAAUGGAUACGUCAAGGCGUAUCUUAUACAAAUAGUGCGAUAAGCACCCGUGCUAUUUAACAUGCCGGGAUCAAGAAAGGGGCAGCGUGCGGGUUCUGGGAAAUAAGUAAAAAUACUGUCAAGAAGAACGUAUGGAGGUUACCCUAGGCACCUAUGCUGCAUGCCCCCUUUGUAUGCCAAUCCUUCGAAGGGGCUGGUGAUCAGGCUCGCGAGAAAAGGAACCUGAAAUGGAGAGGAAAAGUGUGUCCAGGGUCAGUCUAGCCGAACUAUAGAUCCCGGGUUAGCUUGUGCCUCCGUCGACGUCCAUGGAAUUUCGAGUGCGUAAUUAUGUAUGCGUGGUACGAAUGCCACUACUUCACCGGGACUGGGACAAAGGCCAAAUUGCUAGGCGAGCUCUUGACGAGCCUUGCUGUCCUGCUGCAGUGUAGUUCGGAACUUCUUGAUGGUGUCCGGGGGCUCGGCAGCCGCACUAUGGUGCUGCUUGAGAAGGCCGCUCUGUACCUCUGCUACUAGGGCGGCGGUGUGCUCCUCUGUUCGUAGGGAGCGUUCCGUAUUGCCAUUGACUGUUAUGACACCUCAUGGACCGGGCAUCUUGAGCUUGAGAUAAGCAUAGUGUGGCACUGCGUUGAAUCUGGCAAACGCUGUUCGUCUGAGCAGUGCAUGGUAGCCGCUGUGGAAGGGGACGAUGUCGAAGAUUAGCUCCUCACUUCGGAAAUUGUCCGGAGAACCAAAGACCACUUCCAGCGUGAUUGAGCCCGUACAGCGGGCCUCUACGCCUGGAAUGACUCCUUUGAAGGUAGUCUUUGUUGGUUUAAUUCGGGAGGGGUCAAUGCCCAUCUUCCGCACUGUGUCUUGAUAGAGCAGGUUGAGGCUGCUACCACCGUCCAUUAGGACUCGUGUCAGGUGGAAUCCGUCGAUGAUUGGGUCGAGGACCAAUGCGGCCGAGCCGCCAUGACGGAUACUAGUUGGGUGAUCUCGACGAUCAAAGGUGAUCGGAAAUGACGACCAUGGGUUGAAUUUAGGGGCGACUGGCUCUACCACAUAGACGUCCCUGAGUGCUCGCUUACGCUCCCUUUUAGGGAUGUGUGUGGCGUAUANNNNNNNNNNNNNNNNNNNNNNNNNNNNNNNNNNNNNNNNNNNNNNNNNNNNNNNNNNNNNNNNNNNNNNNNNNNNNNNNNNNNNNNNNNNNNNNNNNNNNNNNNNNNNNNNNNNNNNNNNNNNNNNNNNNNNNNNNNNNNNNNNNNNNNNNNNNNNNNNNNNNNNNNNNNNNNNNNNNNNNNNNNNNNNNNNNNNNNNNNNNNNNNNNNNNNNNNNNNNNNNNNNNNNNNNNNNNNNNGCCCCUCAGUGUUCGGCUGCCGGGGCUCUUCGUCUUCGUCCUCACUUUGUGACCCCUUUUCUUUAUUUUCGGCAUUUAACUUGUCGGCCUGCUUAAAAACCCAACAGUCCCUGUUGGUGUGAUUGGCUUGCUUAUCCGGGGUGCCGUGUAUUUGGCACGGACGGUCGAGUAUGCGGUCCAGGCUGGAAGGUCCUUCAUUGUUUCUUUUGUAGGGCUUCUUCCGUUGGCCGGACUUGGAGCCGCUGAAUCCGGCGUUGACUGUGGUGUCAUCGGUGUUGUUGUCAUUGCUUCGGCGUUUGUGCCUAUUGCGCCGGAGCUUGCCAGUGCUAUUUUUGACCUCAGAGGGGCCUGUCUCGCUGGCUGUGUUGUUACUACGAGCUAGCCAACUGUCCUCUCCCGCGCAAAAGCGGGUCAUGAGUGCCGUGAGGGCUGCCAUGGAUUUCGGCUUUUCUUGGCCGAGGUGGCGAGCGAGCCAUUCGUCCCGGAUGCUAUGCUUAAAUGCCGCUAGUGCUUCGGCAUCCGGACAGUCGACGAUCUGGUUCUUUUUGGUUAGAAACCUAGUCCAGAAUUUUUUGGCUGAUUCUCCGGGUUGUUGAACUAUGUGGCUUAAGUCAUCGGCGUCAGGUGCCGGACAUAAGUCCCUUGGAAGUUGUCCAGGAAAGCUUCUUCCAAGUCCUCCCAGCUGCCGAUAGAAUUUUCAGGCAGGCUGUUAAGCCAGUGCCGAGCUGGUCCCUUGAGCUUGAGUGGGAGGUAUUUAAUGGUGUGGAGAUCAUCUCCUCGAGCCAUGUGGAUGUGGAGGAUGAAAUCCUCGAUCCAUACUGCGGGAUCGGUUGUGCCGUCGUAUGAUUCGAUAUUGACGGGCUUGAAUCCCUCGGGGAAUUCGUGAUCCAGUACCUCGUCUGUGAAGCAGAGAGGGUGUGCGGCACCUCUGUACCGGGCCGUGUCGCGGCAUAGCUCUGAUGAAGUCCGUCUGCGACAUUCGGACCGGGCGUGGUUAGGUUUGUCACAUCUGGAUAGGUAGCCGUCUUCGUGCCUCGAGGCACGUCCUCGCGAUCCAUAGAUCGAUCUUGUAUGUCCUGCUCUACUGUCUAGGGUCUGCCGGAGGUUGUGUGACCCCGAAUUCUUCCGCCAUUAUUUUUGCGAGGUGGUUGGGCGGUCUGCUGUUCGGCCUGAGUUGCCGCUUUAUCCCGACCGCGUGGUGGCCGGUCGGCCGCCCUGUCUCGACCACGUGGUGGUCGUUCCGCAUUACGCGAGGGAGGUAUGGGAUCUGGUGCCUCCUCAUCGAACUGAGGUAGCAGUUUGCAUUUUGGGUAGCUCUUGGCUGGGCGCUUGAGGCCGUAUUCUUCAGCUGUCAGGACAUCGGUCCAUCUGUCGACAAGUAGAUCUUGUUCGGCUUGAAGCUGCUGUUGUUUCUUUUUCAGGCUCCUUGCAGUGGCUAUGAGCUGUAGCUUGAAGCGCUCCCGCCCAAGAGGAUCCUCAGGCACGAUGAAAUCGUCGUUGGCGAGGCUUGUCUCCUCCUCGGAGGUUGGAUGAUAGCUAUCGUCCUCCGGGUCAUCUUCUAUGGCCUGUUCAUUGGGGUUAUCCUACUCGUUGCCGUUUUCCUCCUGUUCGGAUAUAGCUCCGACAGGGUCUUCGUUGUUUUCGGCGUUGCCCGGAGUACUAUUUUCUCCGGUGCCAGUGUUGUCGUCUUUUGAGCGGCGGGGCUUAGGACGGCGUUUGGGGCGCCGGCGCUUGGACUGCGUCUCCGAGGGUUUGUUUUUAUCAGGCUCUUCUUUGUCGUCGCCAGAUCCUUUAGGUGUAUCAACCAUGUACACAUCGUACAAAGAGGUGCCCGUCCAACGUCCAGUGAAUGGCGGGUCUUGGCCUUGCUCCUUGUCUGCAUCGUCGUCCAUACCGUCGAUGUCUUCGGAGCCAUAGUCAAGCACAUCGUUUAAGUCAUCGACGGUGGCUAUGAAGUGGGUGGCAGAUGGGAAGCAAAAUUCCUCGUCAUCCACCUCUAGCUCGAAUCAAACAUAGUUCAGCUGUGAGUCUUCCUCCAAGGACAAUUUCUUCAAAGAGUUUAGUACGUCACCCAAAGGCGAAUGCUGGAAGAUGUCUGCGGCGUUAAAUUUGAAAAUCGAUAACCGAUCCAACUCGGUGUCUGCAGGCGCAUCUGGUCCGGAACGUAUGGCCGGAUACGAGUCCGGAGUUCCAUUGAUGCAAGCGUUGCAGGAUGUCGAGUCUGUGUGCGGCUCCAACGCCGUAGGCUUCGUGUCCUCGGAGGACGCGAUCUGCUUCGGUUCUGAAGCCGUUGCAGUAGCAGGAUCCAUCUCCUGGACAUAGUCCGAUAAUAGAUUUAAGUCAUGUUCAUCGGAGCAAGGGGAGGCAACUGCCGCGGUCUCGAAUCCAUUGAAGAUCAAGUCUCCACGGAUAUCUGUGACGUAGUUUAGGCUUCCAAAUCUGACCUGGUGGCCAGGGGCGUAGCUAUCGAUCUGCUCUAGGCGGCCAAACGAGUUGGCCCGCAGUACGAAGCCGCCGAACACAAAGAUUUGUCCGGGGAGAAAGGUUUCUCCCUGGACGGUGUCAUUGCUGACGAUCGAAGGGACCAUCGAAUCCUUUCCUCGACGACACAAUGGAACUCUCAAUGAAAGCACCAAUGUCGGUGUCAAAACCGGCGGAUCUUGGGUAGGGGGUCCCGAACGGUGCGUCUAGGAUCGAUGGUAACAGGAGACGGGGGACACGAUGUUUACCCAGGUUCGGGCCCUCUCUAUGGAGGUAAUACCCUACUUCCUACUUAAUUGAUCUUGAUGAAUAUGAGUGUUACAAGAGUUGAUCUACCAUGAGAUCGUAAUGGCUAAACCCUAGAAGUCCAGCCUAUGAGUAUAUGGUAAUGAAUCUGUCCUAUCCGGACUAUGCUCUUCGGUUUAUAUAGACACCGGAGAGAUCUAGGGUUAUAUGGAGUCGGUUACAUAAGAGGGAAUCUUCAUAGUCGAUCGCCUAGCUUUCCUUCCACGCCAAGUCGAGUCCAAUCCGGACACAGGUAUAGUCUUCGGCCUUUGUGUCUUCACAGCCCAUCAGUCCGGCCCAUGGAUAGCAGGCCGGACGCCCGAGGACCCCUUAGUCCAGGACUCCCUCAGCGGGCUUGCCUCCUUCGUAUGCGGGAGGCCUCCGGCUAGAGCGUGGCCCUAUCCUUAGGCAGCGCGCGAGGCGGCGGAGCUGGCGCUGGGGUGACAACUGACUUGUUAUAACUGAGUAUGAACCGUGGAUGAAUGUUUACUUAAACCUCUAACAUCAUUAGCAAUUCUAAACAUCAAAUCACUCAAGCGUUCAAUCAUCAUAGCAUUUCGUUUCAAUUGAUUAGUAACAUACAUGUUGAAGUUCUCUUGCUUAACAAUAUAAUUAUCAAAUUCAUCCAGGCAUUGACUAGGAGAUUUAUUAUAGGGAAUGCCACCCUCAUCGAAUCUUUAAAGAAAAUUUACCUCCACUACCUGUGUCGGGAUAUCAGGUCUGUGUAUUUCUUCAAUAGGUGGUAAAGUCUUAAGAUUUUUAGAUUUAAUACCCUUUUCUUUCAUAGUUUUCUUAGCUUCUUGCAUACCUUCUGGACCGAGGAAUAGAAUACCUCUCUUCUUUGGAGUUGGUUUCAGUGGUGGUUCAGGAAGUGUCCAAUCAUCGACAUUCUUCAACAUAUAUUCAAUAAAUCUUCAGCCUAUCUAAUAGUUCGUUCCUUGAAAACACAACCAGCACAACUAUCCAGGUAGUCCCUAGAAGCAUCGGUUAGUCCAUUAUAAAAGAUAUCAAGUACUUUAUUUUUCUUAAGAGGAUGAUCUGACAAAACAUUAAGUAAUUGGAGAAGCCUCCCCUAAGCUUGAGGGGGAUUUUCUUCUUCAAAUUGCACAAAGUGAAAUAUUUCCUAUAAGGCAUCUUGCUUCUUAUGAGCAGGAAAAUAUUUUCCAGAGAAGUAAUAUAUCAUAUUCUGGGGACUACGUGCAAAAUUAGGAGCAAGAGUAUUAAAACAUUUCUUAGCAUCACCCUUUAAUGAGAAAAGUAAGUAACCUAAGAAUAUAGUAGUAGCGAAUUUUUUCCUCAUGAGCAAAUAGGGUGGCUAUAUCAUUCAAUUUAGUAAGGUACGUCACAACUAUUUCAGUUUCAUAACCAUGAAAAUGAUCAGAUUCUACCAAAGUAAUUAAUUCAGGAUCAACAGAGAAUUCAUACUUAUCGGUGACAAAGAUAGGAGAAGUAGCAAACUUAGGAUCAUAUUUCAUUCUCUUUAUCAUAGCUUUUUCUUUCAGCUUACUCAGUAAUUUCUUAAGAUCAACUCUACCGUUACAAGCAAGAAAUUCUUCCCAUCCAUAACGUAACCAUCAGGUAUCAUAGGCAUUUCAUCUCCAGUAGGAGAACUAGGCAUAAUAGGUGAAUCAUAAUUUUCAUCAGUUUCAACAUUCUCAAUUUCUUUAGUUUUAGCAAUUAGUUUAUCAAGAAAUUCACCUAGUGGCACAGUAUUAUGAAGCAAAAUACUAGCAUCAUCACAAGUUUCAUUUAUAAUAGAAGUAGUAUCGUCAAUUACUUGCGACAUAUCAGAAUGAAUAACAGGUGGUGGUGUCGCAAGCCUACUUAAAAUAGACGGUUAAUCAAGUGCCCAUCAAGAUGGUUGUUCCUUACCUCCCCUCGUCUUAGAGGGUACGAUCUUGGUCUUAGCGUCUUUCAGAUUCUUCAUAAUGAUAAGCAAAUUUUAAAAUCCCAAGUGAACUCAAUAAAUAGAGCUAUGCUCCCUGGCAACGGCACCAGAAAAAGGUCUUGAUAACCCACAAGUAUAUGAGAUCACGACAGUCUUCGAGGGUAGUAUUUCACCCAAAUUUGUUGAUUCGACACAAGGGGAGCCAAAGAAUAUUUAUGAGCCUUAGUAGUUGAGUUGUCAAUUCAACCACACAUGGAAAAUAAUAUUUUUGCAGCAAAGUGUUUAGUAGCACAGUAGUUUGAUAGUUUUGAUAGUAGCAGUAAUAGUAGCAAUUGUAGCAAGAACAGUAACAUAAGCAGUUUUGUAAUGAUUGUAACAGCAACAUCAGUAGUAAGUUAGCAAAUAUCAAUAUGACAAAAGCGUAGGCAUUGGAUCAGCGAUGGACAUUUGUGUUGGGUGAUAUUCAUCAUAUAACAGUCACAACCUAGAGCGAUACACAAUAUCUCCAAUUCAUCAAUUCAAUGUAGGCAUGUAUUCCGUGUGUAGUCAUACGUGCUUAUAUUAAGAAUUUGUAUACCAUCUUUUGUCCUACCCUCCCGUGGCAGCGAGGUCCAUAAGGAAAUCUAAGGGAUAUUAAGACCUUCUUUUAAUAGAGAACCAGAACAAAGCAUUAGCUCUCAAUGAAUACAUGAACUCCUCAUACUAUGGUCAUCACCGGAGCAAAUCCCAAUUAUUGCCACCUUGGGGUCUACGGAUGAUAACACAUAAUAGGUGCAUACAACUUGCAAGAUAGGAUCCAAAACUCACUUAUAUUCAUGAAAACAUAAAGGGUUCAGAUAUGAAAUCAUGGCACUCGGGCCCUAGUGAUAAGCAUUAAGCAUAGCAAAGUCAUAGCAAUAUCAAUCUCAGAACAUAGUGGAUAGUAGGGAUCAUGCCCUAACAAAUUGACUCGAUUACAUGACAAAUCUCAUCCAACUCCAUCACUUCACAACAAGCCUACGAAGGAGUUACUCACUCCCUAUGGUGAGCAUCAUGAAAUUGUUGAUGAAGAAGGGUUGAUGAUGACGACGGCGACAAAUAGCCCUCUCCGGUGCCCCGGACGGAUUCUAGAUCGGCCCUCCCGAUGAAGAACAGGAGGUGGCGGUGGCUCCAUAUCGUAAAACGUGAUGAUUUCUUCUCUCUGAUUUUUUUCUCCGCAAGACGGUACUUAUGGAGUUGGAGUUAGGGCUAACGAAGGUCUCUACUUUCGAUGCCUCUCAAGGAACCAUUGAUAAUCCACAAGUAUAGAGGAUCGCGACAAUCUUCGAGGGUAGUAUUUCACCCAAAUUUUUUGAUUCGACGCAAGGGGAGACAAAGAAUAUUUAUGAGCCUUAGCAGUUGAGUUGUCAAUUCAACCACACCUGGAAAAUAAUAUUUCUGCAGCAAAGUGUUUAGUAGCACUGUGGUUUGAUAGUUUUGAUAGUAGCAGUAACAGUAGCAAUAGUAACAGGAACAACAACAAAAGCAAUUUUAUAGUGAUUGUAACAACAACAACAAUAGUAACUUAGCAAAGAUCAAUAUGAGAAAAGCGUAGGCAUUGGAUCAGCGAUGGAUAUUUGUGUUGGAUGAUAUUCAUCAUAUAACAGUCACAACCCAGAGCGAUACACAAUAGCUCCAAUUCAUCAAUUCAAUGCAGGCAUGUAUUCUGUAUGUAGUCAUGCGUGCUUAUAGUAAGAACUUGCAUAACCUCUUUUGUCCUACCCUCCCGUGGCAGCGGGGUCCAUAAGAAAAUCUAAGAAAUAUUAAGGCCUACUUUUAAUAGGGAACCAGAACAAAGCAUUAACACUCAAUGAAUACAUGAACUCCUUAUACUACGGUCAUCACCGGAGCGAAUCCCAAUUAUUGUCACCUUGGGGUCUACGGAUCAUAACACAUAAUAGGUGCAUACAACUUGCAAAAUAGGAACCAAAACUCACUAUAUUCAUGGAAACAUAAAGGGUUCAGAACUGAAAUCAUGGCACUCGGGCCCUAGUGACAAGUCAUAGCAACAUCAAUCUCAGAACAUAGUGGAUACUAGGGAUCAAGCGUUAACAAACUGACCCGACUACAUGAAAAAUCUCAUCCAACUCCAUCAUCGUCCAGCAAGCCUACGAAGGAAUUACUUACUCUCGGUGAUGAGCAUCAUGGAAUUGUUGAUGAAGAAGGGUUGAUGUUGACGACGAUGACGAAUCCCCCUCUCCGGAGCCCCGAACGGACUCCAGAUCAGCCAUCCCGAUGAAGAACAAGAGGUGGCGGCGGCUCCGUAUCGUAAAAUGUGAUGAUUACUUAUCUAUGAUUUUUUUUCUCCGCGAGACGGUACUUAUGGAGUUGAAGUUAGGGCUAAGGGAGGUCCAUGGGACCCACGAGCUCACAGGGCGGCCCUCCUAAGCUCGUGGCUCCGUGGUGGCCCCCCUCUAGGAGGUAUUUUCGCCAAUAAUUUGUAUAUAAUCUAGAAAUAUUCUCCGUAAAUUUUUAGCCAAAUCCGAGAACUUUUAUUUCUGCACAAAAUACACCAUAGUAGUUAUGCUGAAAACAUCGUCAGUCAUGUUUAGUUUCAUUCAAAUCAUGCAAAUUAAAGUUCAAAGCAAGAGCAAAAGUGUUUGGAAAAGUAGAUACAUUUGAGACGUAUGAACCGCCAGCAGUGCCCGCCCGAUCCGCCUCUCGUAAGCCGUUGUGUGCCUCGGCAUACAUGAGCCCCUACGCACUUGGCCUCUAGCGCUGCAUCCACCCCGCAUCUGUGGGCGCCGCCAGUGCCAUGGGAUUACUCAUAUUGAGCAGCGAAUCUCCAGCAGCCACGCCGGCAGCUAGGAGGUGCCUUUCUUCUCCCGUCUCGUGCUUUAGUUCCCGCUGGUUUUGUAGGUUGGUUUUUAUGCAUUCCAUUUUGUUGGGCGAUUUCAGUUCUGGUUUUUUAGUUUUUUUUUUUGUUUUUCCUUUUUUCUCUUUUUCUCUUUUUCCAUUCUUUUUUUGCUUUUAGCGCUGCAUGCACCCCGCGCAUGUGGCCGUCACUAGUGAAAUAUGAUUACUCAUAUUCAGUCACGAAUCUCUAGCAGCCGCAUCGGCAGCCAGGAGGCACGCUUCUUGUUCCGCCUCAUGCAUUAGUUUCCCUCAGUUUUGUAGGCUGGCUUUCUUGUGUUUCAUUUUGUUGGCUGAUUUUAAAUUCUGUUUUUUGUUUUCUAUUUUUAUUUCUUUCUUUAAUUUUACAAUUCCUUUUUUUCAUUCUUUAAAAACAUGUUUUAAUUGAUCUUUAUAAAAAUUACGAAUAAUUGGCAAACUUGUGAACAUUUUUAUAAAAUUGACAAAUUUUUUUAAAAUCAUAAUUUUUAUAAAAUUUACAAACAUUUUUUAAAAUUAUGAAUAUUUUUGAAUUCUCCAGCUUUUUAAAAAUACAUGUACUUUUUCCAAGUUUGGAAACAUUUUUAAAAUUCAUGAUAUUUCUAAAUCAAAGAGUUUUUUUUUCAAAUUCAUGAACAUUUUUGAAAUACAAUGACAUUUUUCAAAUUAGUGUUUUCUAAAUUCAUGAACAAUUUACAAAUUUGUAAACCUUUUCAAAUCUGUGAUUUUUAAAUUUCUUUUUUAAUUAUGAACUUUUUUAUUCUUAAAAAAUAUUCUAUUAAAAAACCAUUGCUAAUAUUCUUUACAAGCACCAUUUUUUCACAUACGGGCAACACAUAGCGAGCGAGCUAGUGACAACGAAAUUGGGGGCACAACCUGUUUGUUGUGCUCACGAGCGACGUGCCUUAAGGCGAAAUCACUAGUAAAGGAUUACCCAUUGUAAUGGUCACAUCUAGACCUUCUAUGUAUUUCACUUUCACAACCUCAAAAUUUUUUAGAUUCGUUUAUUCAAAAUGACUUAUCUCUUGAACCGUGCGUCCAAAUACCGAAACCGUUUUCACUCUUGGAUUUUCGUGUGGAGAUCUUCGAAACUAGACCCCAUGUUAAUAGUUUACGACGAACUUUCUUUUUGCCAAAAACCAGAAACAAAAAAAAAACA
rnacentral:lncRNA from 1 species